AGGGAUCAUUACUGAGUUUACGCUCUAUAACCCUUUGUGAACAUACCUAUAACUGUUGCUUCGGCGGGUAGGGUCUCCGCGACCCUCCCGGCCUCCCGCCUCCGGGCGGGUCGGCGCCCGCCGGAGGAUAACCAAACUCUGAUUUAACGACGUUUCUUCUGAGUGGUACAAGCAAAUAAUCAAAACUUUUAACAACGGAUCUCUUGGUUCUGGCAUCGAUGAAGAACGCAGCGAAAUGCGAUAAGUAAUGUGAAUUGCAGAAUUCAGUGAAUCAUCGAAUCUUUGAACGCACAUUGCGCCCGCCAGCAUUCUGGCGGGCAUGCCUGUUCGAGCGUCAUUUCAACCCUCAAGCUCUGCUUGGUGUUGGGGCCCUACAGCUGAUGUAGGCCCUCAAAGGUAGUGGCGGACCCUCCCGGAGCCUCCUUUGCGUAGUAACUUUACGUCUCGCACUGGGAUCCGGAGGGACUCUUGCCGUAAAACCCCCCAAUUUUCCAAAGGUUGACCUCGGAUCAGGUAGGAAUACCCGCUGAACUUAAGCAUA
rnacentral:rRNA from 1 species